UACGGAGGAUGCGAGCGUUAUCCGGAUUUAUUGGGUUUAAAGGGUGCGUAGGCGGAUCGAUAAGUCAGUGGUGAAACCCUGCAGCUUAACUGUAGACUUGCCGUUGACACUGUUGGUCUUGAGUGUGGUCAAGGUAGGCGGAAUGUGUAAUGUAGCGGUGAAAUGCUUAGAUAUUACACAGAACACCGAUUGCGAAGGCAGCUUACUGGGCCAUUACUGACGCUGAUGCA
rnacentral:rRNA from 1 species